UACGGAGGGAGCUAGCGUUGUUCGGAAUUACUGGGCGUAAAGCGCACGUAGGCGGCUUUGUAAGUUAGAGGUGAAAGCCCGGGGCUCAACCCCGGAAUUGCCUUUAAGACUGCAUCGCUUGAAUCCAGGAGAGGUGAGUGGAAUUCCGAGUGUAGAGGUGAAAUUCGUAGAUAUUCGGAAGAACACCAGUGGCGAAGGACG
rnacentral:rRNA from 1 species